rnacentral:rRNA from 1 species
CGGGAUAAUAAGUCAGUGGUGAAAGUCUGCAGCUCAACUGUAGAACUGCCAUUGAUACUGUUGUCCUUGAGUAAUUAUGAAGUGGUUAGAAUAUGUAGUGUAGCGGUGAAAUGCAUAGAUAUUACAUAGAAUACCGAUUGCGAAGGCAGAUCACUAAUAAUUUACUGACGCUGAUGGACGAAAGCGUAGGUAGCGAACAGGAUUAGAUACCCUGGUAGUCUACGCCGUAAACGAUGGUUACUAGCUGUUUGGCUCGAUUGAGAGCUGAGUGCUAAGCGAAAGUGAUAAGUAACCCACCUGGGGAGUCCGUUCGCAAAGAAUGAAACUCAAA